rnacentral:rRNA from 1 species
UACGGAGGGUGCAAGCGUUGUCCGGAUUCAUUGGGUUUAAAGGGUGCGCAGGCGGGACAUUAAGUCAGGGGUGAAAGACGGUUGCUCAACAAUCGCAGUGCCCUUGAUACUGGUGUUCUUGGGUAACCUUGAGGUAGGCGGAAUGGGUGGUGUAGCGGUGAAAUGCUUAGAUAUGACAUAGAACACCAAUUGCGAAGGCAGCUCGCUACACGAAGAUUGACUCUGAGGCACGAAAGCGUGGGGAGCGAACAGG